rnacentral:lncRNA from 1 species
CUCUUUCGCGUGAAGUAGGAUCCUUGAGCUGUUGCAGAGGCAGCCAACUGCUCCAUAUUUGGCUUCUAUUACACAUUUACAUACUGGAGAGCGGAGCGGCAGCGAGCGCUGUACCGCAGACAUCAUUUCUACUACAGCGCCGGAGCAGCCCGGAGCGUGUCCCCGCGGGGGAAGGAGCCCGCACGCACACACACACACACUCACACACCCGAAGACCCCCGCCCCGGGAGGACGGCGGUGCGCGAGUCUCAGUCCGACCCCCCCGCCAGCCCCACCUCCACUGACACUUUACAGUUCCCACCUCCUCAACUUUGGGAUCGACAGUCACGCCGCAGGCCGAGCCAGACGGGCGAGCAAUACAAGCUGUGAAUUUAUUGUUGACACCUGCAGGACAGUGACCACCUUCGCCGUCGUCUUCGCCAUACAGAGAUGCGCUGUCAGUGAGGUAAGAAAGCAAUGCCCUUUUCUUCUGUCUAACAAGCAUGUGCUGUCUGCCGCGGGGUCUGGUCAGCACGGGCACCUGAAUGGAGUCCGUGCCGUUAUCUACCUGCAAAACGUCUGUACUUCCCUUGCCUGGCAGUAAAGGUCCUGGAGAUACUCAUCAUAGAAAUGCCACGAGCUCUGGUGACUCAGUUGGGUGACUGACAGGACAGUGGGUUCCAGAUGAGUGGUUUUAUGUUCACCUCAGGUCGGAGUAUAUGCAGUUACUAAAAGAUUGUAGCACGAAUGGAAAAGUUUACAGUCUCUGAUCUUUUGCUGGUUAUUACCAUGGGUAUAAUUGUAUAAAUCCUCCCGUGCUUUUGUGAACAUUUUUAGCAGUUCUUGUUGCUUGCAGCUCGUUUGAGUUUUCGGUGUCCCCAUUUCCUCUCAAGCACUGAACUUUGCCUGGCGUGAGGAUACUUCCCAGGGUAACUGGCCACUAGUGAUGUGCCCGAGUGUCUUUUACUCCAGUUUCAGGAAUGUUUUCAGUUCUUCUGACAUUUUUCCCCCGAGUUCUGGAACCAGACAGGAUGGAGUAGCACGCUCAGCUCCUUCUCCUCUUCCUCACUUCUCCUUCUUGUUUGGCUGGGGGGAAUACCUUGAAAGAACCAAGUCUCAGGGCUCAACAAUCGUA